rnacentral:rRNA from 1 species
GACGAACCGUGCGAACGUUAUUCGGAAUCACUGGGCUUAAGCGCGUGUAGGCGGGACGGCACGUCGGUCGCUGAAAGCCCCCGGCUCAACCGGGGAACGGGCGCCGAUACGACCGCCCUGGAGGAACGUAGGGGGACCUGGAACUUCCGGUGGAGCGGUGAAAUGCGUUGAGAUCGGAAGGAACGCCCGUGGCGAAAGCGAGGUCCUGGACGUUUACUGACGCUGAGACGCGAAAGCCAGGGGAGCGAACGGG